UGGGGAAUAUUGCACAAUGGGCGCAAGCCUGAUGCAGCCAUGCCGCGUGUAUGAAGAAGGCCUUCGGGUUGUAAAGUACUUUCAGCGGGGAGGAAGGGAGUAAAGUUAAUACCUUUGCUCAUUGACGUUACCGACAGAAGAAGCACCGGCUAACUCCGUGCCAGCAGCCGCGGUAAUACGGAGGGUGCAAGCGUUAAUCGGAAUUACUGGGCGUAAAGCGCACGCAGGCGGUUGAUUGAGUCAGAUGUGAAAUCCCCGGGCUUAACCCGGGAAUUGCAUCUGAUACUGGUCAGCUAGAGUCUUGUAGAGGGGGGUAGAAUUCCAUGUGUAGCGGUGAAAUGCGUAGAGAUGUGGAGGAAUACCGGUGGCGAAGGCGGCCCCCUGGACAAAGACUGACGCUCAGGUGCGAAAGCGGGGGGAGCAAACAGG
rnacentral:rRNA from 1 species